rnacentral:rRNA from 1 species
UACGUAGGGCGCAAGCGUUAUCCGGAAUUAUUGGGCGUAAAGAGCUCGUAGGCGGUUUGUCGCGUCUGCCGUGAAAAGUCCGGGGCUCAACUCCGGAUCUGCGGUGGGUACGGGCAGACUAGAGUGAUGUAGGGGAGACUGGAAUUCCUGGGUGUAGCGGUGAAAUGCGCAGAUAUCAGGAGGAACACCGAUGGCGAAGGCAGGUCUCUGGGCAUUAACUGACGCUGAGGAGCGAAAGCAUGGGGAGCGAACAGG